UCACUGCCGAGGAGUCCCACAAUAGGACGAAACGGCCGUCCAAUGG
rnacentral:hammerhead_ribozyme from 1 species